rnacentral:lncRNA from 1 species
UUCAAAUACCUUAAUUUCUUGUGGUUUUGCGUUUUGUCUUUUUUAGUAUCAUGUAGUUUAAAAUGCGUCACUUAAGUACUAUGUGAUUUUAUUUUUUUCUUUCUUUUAUCCCUUCCGUUAAUUUUUUCUUUAAAUCAGUGACAAAGUUAAAAUCACAAAAUAUUAAAAUAAAAAAUUGGCAAAUCACAUGAUACUAAAGUAAAUAUUCGAUAAAUCAUAGAUGGAGUAUCUGAUGUUUUUUGUAUAUGAUUUAACGAAGUACUGACGGAAAGCGAAAAAUAAAAAUCAUAAGAUACUAAAGUGAUACACUUUAAACCAAAUAAUAUUAAAGUGAGAAAGUACGAAAUCACAGAGGUGGUAUUUAAAGUUUACCCCUCUUAAAUUAAUCUC